AUGGAAAUAAUGACCGCUGACAUGCGUCAGGUUCCUGAAGGACAUGAGCGUGUGGGCGGCCCGCGCUGCAGUGAUGGGGCUCCGGGGCCGGUGAAGGGGACAUGGGCUCAUGCGACGACACGCUCCGCAGCGCCACUGAAGCGACGAGGGUUCGGUCUUCAGCAGAACACUGGCUUCCAGGCUCUUGGUCGACGCUCCAGGUAGCCGUGUCUGAUGAAGAUGUCUGAUUCUGUCGGAGAGACUAUGAGAGCUCUGGACGAGAACAGCUCGAGCGCAGAUGAACGCCAGCUCAACACGUCACAGAGCCAGCAGCACGAGGACAGCUGCAGCAAGGACAGGACUGAGCCGCAGGUAAUGAUGUCCUGAUGGAAGCCGCGCUGCUCUUCUGCCUUUCAGGUCGAAGCCUAAAGAACAACAGCUCAAAGGCUUAAGAGAGAGAACGAGAUGAAAACAGAAGACGGUUGAUUUAAAGAUAACAGGUUAUAAUGAUUCAUGUAUUUAACGCAGCGUCUGGUCCAGACUGUCCGUCAUCUCACACUGAUGAUCAUGAUGCUGGACGACGUGAUGAAGUCUAUUAGAAUGCAGUUAUAUGAGCCUAACAUUCAAGAUAUGAGCACAAAACAUAAAUCACCCUCUAAUAUUCAUAUCAUAUGAUAUAGUUUAGUGAUAUCACACCAGCAAGAGUGCUGCUUUUCCCCAAAAUCUGCACGACUGCAAAUGAGAUUCAUUUAUACAACAGUUCAAUAAACAAGAAGUUCAUAUUGUGUGACACAAUAUCAUCAAUUUUGAUCAAUUUCACAAAAAAAUAGUUCAAAGGUAUAGCAGAACGGUUGAGAAUCUCUGAUUCGUUACUGAACGAAUCCACAGUUUUGAACAAAUUGAGUGAGUCAAUGAAUCAGUGACUCACUCAUGAAGAGCCAUUACAGCUUUGUUUCUGAAUGAAUCAGCAGUUUGAACUAACUGGUUGAAUGAAUGAUUCAGUGACUCGCUCAUGAAGACAGUGACUCGCUGCCACCUGCUGGCGCUUUCAGUUUCAUACUUAUUUUCAUUAAAAAAGUCAAUAUUCAAAUUCAAGAAACAAAAAACAUAGUAACACAGUAAUGGCUUUCAGUUUCAUACUUAUUUUCAUUAAAAAAGUCAAUAUUCAAAUUCAAGAAACAAAAACAUGUAACACAGUAAUGAUUUAAAUGAUCUUUUGAGGGGUUAUUUCUCAGCACAAGUUGAUGUGCAAUUUAUUAGAUUAUUCAGCUCAUCGUGUAAUUAAUUUGAUUAAAAUAUUAAUAGUGUGACAGCUCUACUAAUAAUAUUAUUUUACAUGGAGCACAUGCUGCUCGCGCGCUGCUGUUCUGUGGCCGUCUUUAAUAAACACAUAAAUAUUUAUGAAAAUAUAUAACGGCAGCAGUUCAGCUGUGUAAUUAUUGAUCUGUUUUAAAUUGAUCGUGAACCCCCUGCAGGCCUUUUGGAGCGAUGACCUGCACGCUGUAUUGAUCGCUGUAGCACACUCGGUCCUUCAGAAGCGUUUGUGUCUUUGUUUGUACGGAGAGCAAGGGACGGCAAAACAAAUCUUCAGCGAUGGUUCUGCUUUAACGCAGCCAGUCAAUCGUGUGUAAGUGUGUUGUGAGGAGCGGCGGACACGGAUGCUGAAGGUUGCGCCGCUGCGUCUCGAUUUGACACAUUCCUCUGUUUCUGUCUGAUAUGGAGACGUUUCCUCCGUCGAGCCUCUCGUCCCUGAGAAACACUGGUGGAAGAGAGAGCGGAUGUGUGAGCCAUCUGUCUGUCUCCUCCGUCGCAGCUCUGCCUGUGUGUUACAGACUCUUCCAGCAUCGGCUGUCAUUGAGGAUCCGUGGCCUCCUGCCAGAUUCAGCCUCUCGGGGAAUACAGGAUGUUCAAUAGCCAAUUAAAGCUGAAUAACCAUCCGCCGUUAUUCAGUAAAAGACAACCUGUGCUUAUUAACAAUCAGCCUCGUCUGCCUGCUGAGACUGAGAGAACAACUGAGACAAAAGACACGACAACAAAUGAUGUACUGAGUCACUGUGUGUGUGUGUGUGUGUGUAAAUGUGUGUGUGUAUUUUAAGUAGUUUUUUAAGUGUUUUAUGUAGAAUUUGUUCAAAAUAUUCAGUUUUAUUGUAUAUAAUAUUUUUUCAGUGUAUUAAGUAUUGUUCAGUGAUUUAUGCAGUGAUCACAAAACAUACAUUCGAUAUUUUAAUUAAUAUAUUGAUGUAAUAAAAGUUUUUUUUGUUCAGUUUAAGUAUCAUUUUAAUAAAACUAGUUUUUUCAGAUUUCUAAGUAUGAUUUUUAAUAGUUUAAGUAUCAUUCAGAGUGAUUGUGUGAUGGGUUUUCUUCCUGAUGGAUCAUAUUUCUAUUAUAUUAGCAGAAACCUCUAGUGUAUCCUGAAGAAACGUUUGACGAUCGUGACACUCUUUGUUCUCACGUCUAAUGAAAGAAGAUUGCGGCUGUAAUUCUAAUAAUGCCUUUGAUUGACACUCCUGCUUUAUUAAUCUAAUCGGUGUCAAAGAUAUUUGACUGAACGGUUUUCAUAAAUCACAGAGCUGGUUUAGUGUCAAAUAUGUAUUUGUUUUAAGCCACUUUUUCAAUAUUCCUGCCCUUGAAUUUAGAAGCAGAACUCAAUUUCGUCUUAGUGAAAACACAGUAUAUGGAGGAGAAGAUCAGCUGGUUCACUCGUGGUGUUUAAUGAUCUGUUCAGCUGCACACGGUGCAGGAAAAGCAGAUGUUUUCCUCUAAGUGGUUUGGAUGUACAGUAUGUGGUCUUUUCUCUCACGCAGAGCUGAGCUCUCUGCAGUUUGUGAUUCAGAAACAUGAAGUUCGGUGAGACUGACCUGCUUCCUUUUGUCUCAUUGCUCACCGUACAGCGGCAAACACCCGGACCAGGUGCUAA
rnacentral:lncRNA from 1 species